rnacentral:rRNA from 1 species
AACUAACGCUGGCGGCGUGCCUAACACAUGCAAGUCGUACGAGAAAGUUGGCUUCGGCCGAUGAGUACAGUGGCGCACGGGUGAGUAACGCGUGGAUAAUCUGCCCUUAAGUGUGGAAUAACGUACCGAAAGGUGCGCUAAUACCGCAUAAUGCCUGGCAACAUAAGUUGUCCGGCCAAAGAAGGCCUCUGCUUGCAAGCUUUCGCUAAAGGAUGAGUCCGCGUACCAUUAGCUAGUUGGUGGGGUAACGGCCUACCAAGGCGACGAUGGUUAGCUGGUCUGAGAGGAUGAUCAGCCACACUGGGACUGGAACACGGACCAGACUCCUACGGGAGGCAGCAGUGAGGAAUAUUGGUCAAUGGCGCAAGCCUGAACCAGCCAUCCCGCGUGAAGGAUGACGGCCCUAUGGGUUGUAACUGCUUUUCCACGGGAAGAACCUCCGACGUGUCGGAGACUGACGGUACCGUGGGAAUAAGCAUCGGCUAACUCCGUGCC